GCAGUAGGACCCGCUCUGGUCCGCGCCUGCCCGGUUGCUUUUCUCAGGCUCUGAGGCCCGCGGUGCGGAGCGCGGCGUAGGCAGCGGGGAGUGGGCGGCGCGGGGUGGGUGGAGUGGGUCGGCGGCGGGGAUCCUGCCGAGCCUGCAGCUGCCCUCUUUCAGCGCCGUGUCUCCUCCCCGGCCCUGGAUCGUCCCACCUCAGCCACAGCCCGGCCCCCUGGCCGGCCGAGCUCUCGCCGCCGGCGCCCUGGGGACCUCGUGGGUGUGGCCGGCGGCGACCUCGGCAGGCGACAGCCCAGCAGACGGGCACCAGGUGGACGUGCCAGUCUCCAGACCCCCGUCCGGGUGCAGGGAAGGUCUGUUGAGAUUGUCUAUUUUUUCUUGAGUCAGCCGUCUGAAAAGAACACGAGGUGGACAGGGCAGAGCGGUCAAGGAAAGCCAUAGGAGGGCACUUAUUUGAGCAAAGACCGGCGGGACGUGGGCGUCGAGGGUAAGGAUAUCUGCAGAAGUAGUGUCUUGAGCAAGGAGCACGGCAGACAGAGCCUCUGAGACACGAGAGCCUGGAGUGUAAGAAACACAGUAGAGGCCACUAAGUCGAGAACGCAGGAGCUGGAAGGACUGGAAAUGGGCAGCCUUCGGAAGACUGAGCACACGGAAGGAUAUGACUAACCCUUUAAAAGGGUCAUUCUGACUCCUGGGUGAAGAACAGACUAGGAAGGGCUGAGAAGGAGGCAGGAGGCCAUCCACUGUCAUAUGGGAUGUGGAGUGUGACCCGGAAAGGUCAACUGCCCUGUCUAGAAGCUCCAAUACAAUAUUGACUAGAAGCGGCAAGAGUGGACAUCCUUGUCUUGCUCCUGAUUUCAGGGAGGAGGCAUCCAGUCUUUCACCUUUGGACAUCCUGAGGUUCCCACCAAGUGGACAUUGGCUUAUUCUACAAGCAACAGAAUGAGGCCCCUGGACUCCUCACUAGCGAAAUAGUGCAGUGACAGCAACGCCCCCCACCCCCAACAAAGAUGUCCACAUCUUAAUUCCUGGAACCUGUGAAUGUGUGACCUUACCUGGUGUCUUAGUUCAUUUGUGCCACUGUAACAAAAUACCACAGACUGGGUAAUUUAUAAACAAUAUAAAUUUGUUUCUUAUGGUUCUGAA